rnacentral:lncRNA from 1 species
ACUCCUCAUGGCACUACCUACCAGGAACAUCACACAUGUUCUCUGCUUUGUAGCUCUUCUUGUUAUAUCUACCUCCUUGCCUUCUACUACAGCAACGAGGGACAUAGGUAGUUUAAUUUUGGACUCAUUUGUUAUUUGGAUAUUCAAGUUUUAUAUACUUCGUACACACAACACAUGGCACUUCCUCUCUAUGAACGCAGGUACUAGGGAUGAUGGUGGAAAACUGUGUUUCCCAUUUGAAGAAUGCGUGGACCCAUGGCAGUAUGCGUGGGAUGAUUGCCAAAACCGAUGUGUAAAGCAUGGUUAUGACUUGUACAAAAGCUACUGCAAUAAGCACAAUGGUGGUGCAUGUUGCUGCAUAAAGUGAAUGCCAUGUUAUACUAUGGGAAAAGUUGCAUCUAAGCUAGGCUGAAUAACCCAAGAUUUGGUAAAUAAUACAAGGAAUUCAAUAAAGUCUGCUUGUCAAAAUUAUUAUUCAUGGGAUGAUUAAUGUGGCUGUUAGUUGUUGAUGGAUUGAAUGUUCAAGGAUAUCAUGCACCAAAAUAUAUUUUUGUCAACAAUGAACCAAAAUGGCUCAGAGUGCCAUAGAUAUUUGAUUUA